UGGGGAAUUGUUCGCAAUGGGCGCAAGCCUGACGACGCAACGCCGCGUGGAGGACGAAGAUCUUCGGGUCGUAAACUCCUUUCGAUCGGGAAGAACGUUUUCCGGGUGAACAAUCCGGAGAAGUGACGGUACCGAGAGAAGAAGCCCCGGCUAACUCCGUGCCAGCAGCCGCGGUAAUACGGGGGGGGCAAGCGUUGUUCGGAAUUACUGGGCGUAAAGGGCGUGUAGGCGGCCAACUAAGUCCGACGUGAAAUCCCCAGGCUUAACCUGGGAACUGCGUCGGAUACUGGAUGGCUUGAAAUCGGGAGAGGGAUGCAGAAUUCCAGGUGUAGCGGUGAAAUGCGUAGAUAUCUGGAGGAAUACCGGUGGCGAAGGCGGCAUCCUGGACCGACAUUGACGCUAAAGCGCGAAAGCCAGGGGAGCAAACGG
rnacentral:rRNA from 1 species